rnacentral:rRNA from 1 species
UGGGGAAUUUUGGACAAUGGGGGAAACCCUGAUCCAGCCAUCCCGCGUGUGCGAUGAAGGCCUUCGGGUUGUAAAGCACUUUUGGCAGGAAAGAAACGUCGCGGGUUAAUACCCCGCGAAACUGACGGUACCUGCAGAAUAAGCACCGGCUAACUACGUGCCAGCAGCCGCGGUAAUACGUAGGGUGCAAGCGUUAAUCGGAAUUACUGGGCGUAAAGCGUGCGCAGGCGGUUCGGAAAGAAAGAUNUGAAAUCCCAGAGCUUAACUUUGGAACUGCAUUUUUAAACUACCGGGCUAGAGUGUGUCAGAGGGAGGUGGAAUUCCGCGUGUAGCAGUGAAAUGCGUAGAUAUGCGGAGGAACACCGAUGGCGAAGGCAGCCUCCUGGGAUAACACUGACGCUCAUGCACGAAAGCGUGGGGAGCAAACAGGAUUAGAUACCCUGGUAGUCCACGCCCUAAACGAUGUCAACUAGCUGUUGGGGCCUUCGGGCCUUGGUAGCGCAGCUAACGCGUGAAGUUGACCGCCUGGGGAGUAC